GACGGAGGGCGCAAGCGUUGUUCGGAAUUACUGGGCGUAAAGCGCACGCAGGCGGUCUGCUAAGUCCUUUGUGAAAGCCCGGGGCUCAACCCCGGAAUUGCAUGGGAUACUGGCAGACUGGAGACUGGUAGAGGCUAGCGGAAUUCCUGGUGUAGCGGUGGAAUGCGUAGAUAUCAGGAAGAACACCUGUGGCGAAGGCGGCUAGCUGGGCCAGUUCUGACGCUCAUGUGCGAAAGCGUGGGGAGCAAACAGG
rnacentral:rRNA from 1 species